AGUGAACGCUGGCGGUAGGCCUAACACAUGCAAGUCGAACGGCAGCACAGUAAGAGCUUGCUCUUACGGGUGGCGAGUGGCGGACGAGUGAGGAAUACAUCGGAAUCUACUUUUUCGUGGGGGAUAACGUAGGGAAACUUACGCUAAUACCGCAUACGACCUACGGGUGAAAGCAGGGGAUCUUCGGACCUUGCGCGAUUGAAUGAGCCGAUGUCGGAUUAGCUAGUUGGCGGGGUAAAGGCCCACCAAGGCGACGAUCCGUAGCUGGUCUGAGAGGAUGAUCAGCCACACUGGAACUGAGACACGGUCCAGACGCCUACGGGAGGCAGCAGUGGGGAAUAUUGGACAAUGGGCGCAAGCCUGAUCCAGCCAUACCGCGUGGGUGAAGAAGGCCUUCGGGUUGUAAAGCCCUUUUGUUGGGAAAGAAAAGCAGCAGGUUAAUACCCCGCUGUUCUGACGGUACCCAAAGAAUAAGCACCGGCUAACUUCGUG
rnacentral:rRNA from 1 species